UAUGGAGAAACAGUCAGCUGAGAGUAUGAAGAAUGAGUCAGACUACAAAGCGUGGCACAAUAAAAAGGAAAGCUAAGAAAAGUGAGAUGGUACCACCGAAUAAAGAAACCUAAAAUAGAAAAAGGAAAGGAAGGUGAAGAAAUGCACAGUUAAUAUUGUUGCUGUUGGUUGUGCUACAAAUAAUGAAUCUGCUGCAAAUAAUGAAGCAACAAGCUUCAACACUGGAGAUCCUUCUAAGCAUAUUAGUAUCGAAGCAAGAAAACCUUCAGAGAGAAAAGAGGCAGAUUCCAGUGAAAGAAUUCUUUGUCAUAGCCCUCCACCACUUCCACCACCACUUGGACUGGUGGAGCUUAAAACUCAAGCUGCAUGUAGUACUGAAACAGAGGUUAUAUACUGUCUCUAAUUAGAAGAAUGGAAAUUU